CUCACGGGCGCUUCCGAGAAUCUCCAUACCCCGCUAGUCUACAACUCAACGACAAUACCCGCUUCCUACAAGUGAAGCACCAAGUCAACUGGCGGGGCAAAUAAAAAGACGAUCAUGGGAAAAUCUUGCUUUUGUUGCUUUUGUCUGCUGCCGGAGGCGUGUUGAUCACAUUGCAUGACCAUCGAUAUCUGGCAACUUCAUUCAGCAGUUGCAUGUGGCAAUUUUUGAUGAAUACUACGCAAUAAGUACGAGUUAAGAAUCAAAAGACGCCUCAGGAAAUUUGCUGCCGAAACUUUUCCACGCCAAUCAAGAAAACGAGAGGAUCAAAGCCUGUUGCCAUGGUUUCAGGAGGAAAUAAAGGCGAAGAAAAUUUUCACAACCUUGUCGAUCAACGAAAAAAAGGCCAGUCACAUGACCUAAUAUACUCAAGGUUCUCCUUCCAUUUAUUUCAGAAUGAUUCCGUGGUUGUUCGAGAAUUCCUUGUACCUUACGAGGUCCAAUGAGGCUUAAAGCAGUUCGGUACGCUUGUGCGCAGCCGCGGACCAAUUUCCGAGAGCGAGAGACGCCUUUGCACACAACACUCAGCCAAUAAUUGGACGGAGUUUUUCUCACUGGACAAAAAUGCCUUGAUUUCUUGACAGGGGGGGGGGGGAAGCAUUAGUUGUUGGAAACCAGUUUCAUGCGCCUAGUUACUAACCCCUUUCAAAGUGUUAUAUAAAUCAACCAUCAGGUACUUAAGUUAAAAGAGCGGCCUGCGAGCACACCCAGAACAACAGACAAUUUGCCAUCGUUCCUUGACGGUCUUCCACCACAAGGAGGAAUCGCAGAAAAAGCAGAAGAAAGCGAAAGAAAAAUCAAAAGGGACAGUUCAUUCCCCCAAAGGAAAGGAUCCGCGCAACUUUUUUUUUCCUCCCUUUUUUUUUUUUUUUUACCGCUAUCGAUGAGGAACUCAGGUAAUGUUUUGCAAAAAUAAGUUUUUUGUACGGGAAAGGACGUUACACAUAAGGAUACAGGCUUGAACGAAAGGUUCCAAAUCUACAUUCAUGUGCAUCCCACGUUACUGAGACCAGACGAUGGAAACAUCAUCUCCAAGUUCCCACUGUUUCUGUGCCUCUCGUAAUGAGGUUUUUUUUUUUUUUUUAAAAAAAAAAAAAAACCUUUCGCCGAAUCGCUUUUCACACGGAUAACAUCAAACUGAAUUCGC
rnacentral:sRNA from 1 species